UGGGGAAUCUUGCACAAUGGGCGCAAGCCUGAUGCAGCAACGCCGCGUGCGGGAAGACGGCCCUAGGGUUGUAAACCGCUUUCAGGAGGGAAGAAAAUGACGGUACCUCCAGAAGAAGGUGCGGCCAACUACGUGCCAGCAGCCGCGGUGACACGUAGGCACCAAGCGUUAUCCGGAUUUAUUGGGCGUAAAGAGCUCGUAGGCGGUUCGGUAAGUCGGGUGUGAAAAUCCAAGGCUCAACCUUGGGACGCCACCCGAUACUGCUGUGACUCGAGUGCAGUAGGGGAGCAGGGAAUUCCUGGUGUAGCGGUGAAAUGCGCAGAUAUCAGGAGGAACACCAGUGGCGAAGGCGCUGCUCUGGGCUGUAACUGACGCUGAGGAGCGAAAGCAUGGGUAGCAAACAGG
rnacentral:rRNA from 1 species